UGUUGCUGUGCGUUUUCUUGGUGCGCAGAAUUUUCGUUAUAAAAAGUGAAACGAAAUUGAAUUCGAAAACAUUAUCGCCUUAGCCGUGGUUGUGUGUUAAGUCUCCCUUGAUCAAGUUUUAAAGAUUUGAAUUUUCACUACGAAAAUGUUCGUUGUACUCUGUGCAAUAUUCGCUUUGGCGCUGACUGGUACCGAAGCCCAAGACUAUGCAGGCAGCGGCAAAUUUCAUCUUUUGCAACCGCCGAAGAACAACAUGUACCAAAACUGGUCCCGAAUGUGCAGCCGAUUGCUCAACAUUAAUGAUCUGUAUGGCCGUGAUCCUACACCAUUAGACACAGUCCUUUGCUCUUCUCCAAAUCAGUAUUGCGUGAACGGUGCCUGUACAACGAAACCAACCAGCCAAUG